rnacentral:misc_RNA from 1 species
GCUUGCAUUGGGCUUUGUCUACUUUAUGUAGAGGUCUAAAAGUUAGUGGCGGUUAAGUUAGGCAUUCCGGCGUAGUAGUUAUAUUAGCUGUUGAAAUGUCUUUUAACAGUCAACAUCUCCAUGGUUUCUGCUGGCAGAGACCUGGUUGAAUUUUAUCAAUUAUUGACCUCGGAUCAGGUGAGGAUACCCGCUGAAUUUAA